rnacentral:sRNA from 1 species
UUGGCAACUCUGAAUGCUGAAGUCCUCUGAUUAGCCACCGAGCAGGUACAGCCUGGCAAGGGCGGGGGUAGCUUUCCCCACACGCUGUCUCCUGCCAAGGUGCUAGCUCGGAACGUAAAGAGGACCCCUGCUAGAAGGGGGAGGGGGUUCAGUCUCCGUGGCCCAUUCAGUCCGUGGACUCU